rnacentral:lncRNA from 1 species
CCCCCACCCCCAAUUUGCAGACCUUUAUUCGCUCCAGACAGCCCUUUCUCCAACAGCUUCCGAAAAGCUGGGAAGAGGAACCCGCCCCAAGCCAAAUGGAUAGAACUCCUCUUUCCCCCUGACCCCACCGCAAGACGCAUCCCUUAAACUGAGAUAAUCCUGGCCUCAGGCUGCAGCUCCAGUUUCUAGAUCCUCUAUCAAAGCUUGGGGAGGGGAUGCUCGGUUGGGUUUCGGCGGGAACUCCCAGAAGGCUGAACAACGUGAGCCUGGCCCUUUAAGAAUCACCUCCGGUCGUCAGUGCCGCCGAGUCCCGUUGCUAAGGACGUGACGUCACGCGCGGAUGCUGGG